AGAGUUUGAUCAUGGCUCAGAACGAACGCUGGCGGCGUGCCUAACACAUGCAAGUCGAACGAGAAAUCGGGCACUCAGGCAACUGAGCGCCGGAGAGUAAAGUGGCGCACGGGUGAGUAACACGUGGGUAACCUACCCCCGAAUCCGGGAUAACCUCGCGAAAGCGUUGCUAAUACCGGAUAUUGUCCUAUUGGUUGUGACCUUUGGGAUGAAAGGCAACCUCUUCAUGAAAGUUGUCGUUCAGGGAUGGGCCCGCGUACCAUUAGCUUGUUGGUGGGGUAACGGCUCACCAAGGCUACGAUGGUUAGCUGGUCUGAGAGGAUGAUCAGCCACACUGGAACUGAAACACGGUCCAGACUCCUACGGGAGGCAGCAGUGAGGAAUUUUGCGCAAUGGGGGAAACCCUGACGCAGCAACGCCGCGUGAGUGAAGAAGGCUUUCGGGUCGUAAAGCUCUGUCAAGUGGGAAAAAAGUCUGAUGAUUAAUAGUUGUCAGAUCUGAUGGUACCACUGGAGGAAGCACCGGCUAACUCCGUGCCAGCAGCCGCGGUAAUACGGAGGGUGCAAGCGUUGUUCGGAAUUACUGGGCGUAAAGGGCGUGCAGGCGGGUUGGUAAGUCAGAUGUGAAAGCCCUGGGCUCAACCCAGGAAGUGCAUUUGAAACUGCCAUCCUUGAGUAUGGGAGAGGAGAGUGGAAUUCCCAAUGUAGAGGUGAAAUUCGUAGAUAUUGGGAGGAACACCCGUGGCGAAGGCGACUCUCUGGACCAAUACUGACGCUGAGACGCGAAAGCGUGGGGAGCAAACAGGAUUAGAUACCCUGGUAGUCCACGCUGUAAACGAUGAGAACUAGGUGUAGCGGGUAUUGACCCCUGCUGUGCCGAAGUUAACGCAUUAAGUUCUCCGCCUGGGGG
rnacentral:rRNA from 1 species